rnacentral:rRNA from 1 species
CACGUAGGGUGCGAGCGUUGUCCGGAAUUAUUGGGCGUAAAGAGCUCGUAGGCGGUGUGUCGCGUCGGCCGUGAAAACCUGCAGCUUAACUGUGGGCUUGCGGUCGAUACGGGCAUCACUGGAGUUCGGCAGGGGAGACUGGAAUUCCUGGUGUAGCGGUGGAAUGCGCAGAUAUCAGGAGGAACACCGGUGGCGAAGGCGGGUCUCUGGGCAGUAA